rnacentral:rRNA from 1 species
AGUGCUUGCACUAAAUGAAACUAGAUACAAGCGAGCGGCGGACGGGUGAGUAACACGUGGGUAACCUGCCCAAGAGACUGGGAUAACACCUGGAAACAGAUGCUAAUACCGGAUAACAACACUAGACACAUGUCUAGAGUUUGAAAGAUGGUUCUGCUAUCACUCUUGGAUGGACCUGCGGUGCAUUAGCUAGUUGGUAAGGUAACGGCUUACCAAGGCAAUGAUGCAUAGCCGAGUUGAGAGACUGAUCGGCCACAUUGGGACUGAGACACGGCCCAAACUCCUACGGGAGGCAGCAGUAGGGAAUCUUCCACAAUGGACGAAAGUCUGAUGGAGCAACGCCGCGUGAGUGAAGAAGGGUUUCGGCUCGUAAAGCUCUGUUGGUAGUGAAGAAAGAUAGAGGUAGUAACUGGCCUUUAUUUGACGGUAAUUACUUAGAAAGUCACGGCUAACUACGUGCCAGCAGCCGCGGUAAUACGUAGGUGGCAAGCGUUGUCCGGAUUUAUUGGGCGUAAAGCGAGUGCAGGCGGUUCAAUAAGUCUGAUGUGAAAGCCUUCGGCUCAACCGGAGAAUUGCAUCAGAAACUGUUGAACUUGAGUGCAGAAGAGGAGAGUGGAACUCCAUGUGUAGCGGUGGAAUGCGUAGAUAUAUGGAAGAACACCAGUGGCGAAGGCGGCUCUCUGGUCUGCAACUGACGCUGAGGCUCGAAAGCAUGGGUAGCGAACAGGAUUAGAUACCCUGGUAGUCCAUGCCGUAAACGAUGAGUGCUAAGUGUUGGGAGGUUUCCGCCUCUCAGUGCUGCA